CUUUUACAUGCGCCUGACUUGUCUCUACUCUUUGUUUUGCAGACUGAAGCGUCGGACAGAGGGCUGGGGGCCGUGUUGUCCCAGGUGGUGUAGGGGGAGGAGCGACCGGUGCUGUUCAUCAGCCGCAAGCUGUCGGUACGGGAAUGCCGGUACAGCACCAUCGAAAGGGAGUGCCUGACCAUCAAGUGGGCGGUCCUCACCCUCCAGUACUAGCUGUUGGGACGGGCCUCACCCUCUGUUCAGACCAUGGCCCGCUCCAGUGGCUCCAUCGCAUGAAGGAUGCCAACACGUGGAUCACUUGGUGGUAUCUCGCGCUUCAGCCGUUUAAGUUCGAGGUGGUCCACAGACUGGGGCACAGAUGGUCAUGGCCGACUUCCUCUCACGCCGGGGGAGAAUCGGUUGCGGGCCGGACGGCUCCCCAGCCUGAGUCGGCCGGUGGGGGUUCUUCAAACAGAUGAUGGAAAAACAAUGGAGAUUAAAUCAUUUUAUUGUUAGAUGGGGAAGCAAGUGAUAAUGUUCAGGACUGUUUGCCAGAAGGUAUUCAAAGUGGUGCAGUAAUGAACACUAUAGCAUUUGGUCCAAACGCAGACAAUGUACUAAGAACCAUGGCGAAUCAAACAGAUGGCAAGUUUAUAGUUGCCGAAGUGUCUAUACUUUCCACCCAACUUGUGGAUGCCUUUUCCUCAUUGACAAUGUUUGAUGGAAAUUCCUUCACACAGCCAAUACAGCUUGAAAGCACUGGAAAGAGUGUUAUGGACUGGUUUAAUGGAACAGUUCCCAUUGAUUGAACUGUGGGAAACCGCACCACCUUUACAAUAAUUUAUGGAAUGAGUGCACCCACUGUGAAUAUCGUGUCACCAAGUGGUUUGGUUUACAAGCAAACAAACACAACUGACAUUGCUUACACAAUCACUUUAACUGUUCCAGGAACAGCAGAGACAGGUGAAUGGAAAUACAGCUUCUUCAAUAAAGGAGCCACUGUUCAGCAAAUGAGUUUAUUAGUAAUGAGUCGGGCAGCUCAUACAGAUGUUCACCCAGUCACUGUUACAGCCAGAAUGAACCAGCAGACCAGUGAUGGCACCAAACCAAUGGUUGGGUUGGCUGAGUUCAUUCAGAAUUAUAAUCCUGUUUUGGGGGCCAGUGUUUGGGCAAACCUGGAGUCAGAUACUGGGCACUCAGAAAGACUUCAGUUACUUGAUAUUGGUGCAGGAGCUGAUGCAUUCAAAGAAGAUGGCGUCUAUUCAAGAUAUUAAAACGUGGAAAAUACAGUCUGAAAGUGAGAGUGGAACAUCAACAUGGAGAAGGGCAGUUUUCUCCUGACAGUUACAGUGGUGCUCUUUAUGUAGCUGGAUAUAUUGUGGAUGGUGAAGUGGAAUCAAACCCUUCGAAGCCCCCAGUAAAUGUGCAGCCAGUGGAUGUGGGCAACUUCACCAGAACAGUAACUGGGGAGAGUUUUGUGGUGGACAGGGAUGCGCCUCCAAACUUCCCUCUAAACUAGAUUACAGACCUAUGGGCAGAAAUUCAGGAAGACACUGUGCUUCUCAACUGGACAGCCUCUAGUGAGGAUUUUGAUCAGGGAACAGGUGAGCCUUGUGAGCCAAGCUAGAUUUAUUUUGUUCAUGUAGAAACGCUUAAAUGUAUCUACUUUAUGAUGGUUUGCUCCACUGAAAGUAACAGCACUUUGGACUUCAUACUGAUAAAUAAUAGCAACUAGGGGUGUAACAGUACACACAAUUCAAGUUUUGGUUCCUC